UACGUAGGGUGCAAGCGUUGUCCGGAAUUAUUGGGCGUAAAGAGCUCGUAGGCGGUUUGUCGCGUCUGCUGUGAAAACCCGAGGCUCAACCUCAGGCCUGCAGUCGAUACGGGCGGACUUGAGUACUGCAGGGGAGACUGGAAUUCCUGGUGUAGCGGUGAAAUGCGCAGAUAUCAGGAGGAACACCGGUGGCGAAGGCGGGUCUCUGGGCAGUAACUGACGCUGGAGGAGCGAAAGCGUGGGGAGCGAACAGG
rnacentral:rRNA from 1 species